AUACGGAGGAUGCGAGCGUUAUCCGGAUUUAUUGGGUUUAAAGGGUGCGCAGGCGGCCAUUUAAGUCAGCGGUUAAAUCGUGGGGCUCAACCCCAUUCUGCCGUUGAUACUGGGUGGCUUGAUUGCGGUCGAGGUUGGCGGAAUUCGUUGUGUAGCGGUGAAAUGCAUAGAUAUGACGAAGAACACCGAUUGCGUAGGCAGCUGACCAGACCGCAAAUGACGCUCAUGCACGAAAGUGCGGGGAUCGAACAGGAUUAGAUACCCUGGUAGUCCGCACAGUAAACGAUGAGUACUUGUUUUCGGCGAUAUAAUGUCGGAGGCAAAGCGAAAGCGAUAAGUAUUCCACCUGGGGAGUACGCCGGCAACGGUGAAACUCAAAGGAAUUGACGGGG
rnacentral:rRNA from 1 species